rnacentral:rRNA from 1 species
AGUGAACGCUGGCGGUAGGCCUAACACAUGCAAGUCGAACGGCAGCACAGUAAGAGCUUGCUCUUACGGGUGGCGAGUGGCGGACGGGUGAGGAAUACAUCGGAAUCUACUUUUUCGUGGGGGAUAACGUAGGGAAACUUACGCUAAUACCGCAUACGACCUACGGGUGAAAGCAGGGGAUCUUCGGACCUUGCGCGAUUGAAUGAGCCGAUGUCGGAUUAGCUAGUUGGCGGGGUAAAGGCCCACCAAGGCGCCGAUCCGUAGCUGGUCUGAGAGGAUGAUCAGCCACACUGGAACUGAGACACGGUCCAGACUCCUACGGGAGGCAGCAGUGGGGAAUAUUGGACGAUGGGCGAAAGCCUGAUCCAGCCAUACCGCGUGGAUGAAGAAGGCCUUCGGGUUGUAAAGCCCUUUUGUUGGGAAAGAAAAGCAGCAGGUUAAUACCCCGCUGUUCUGACGGUACCCAAAGAAUAAGCACCGGCUAACUUCGUG